AUGGCCUACCAAGACUACGAUGGUUAGCGGGUCUGAGAGGAUGAUCCGUCACACUGGCACUGAAACACGGGCCAGACUCCUACGGGAGGCAGCAGUGAGGAAUAUUGCGCAAUGGGGGGAACCCUGACGCAGCGACGCCGCGUGGGUGAGGAAGGCUUUCGGGUCGUAAAACCCUGUCAGAAGGGAAGAAGUGCUUGCAAGUUAAUACCUUGUAAGUUUGACGGUACCUUCAAAGGAAGCACCGGCUAACUCCGUGCCAGCAGCCGCGGUAAUACGGAGGGUGCAAGCGUUGUUCGGAAUCACUGGGCGUAAAGGGCGCGUAGGCGGCUUGGCAAGUCAGAUGUGAAAGCCCACGGCUUAACCGUGGAAGUGCAUUUGAAACUGCUUGGCUUGAGUAUCAGAGGGGAAAGUGGAAUUCCCGGUGUAGAGGUGAAAUUCGUAGAUAUCGGGAGGAAUACCGGUGGCGAAGGCGACUUUCUGGCUGAAUACUGACGCUGAGGCGCGAAAGCGUGGGGAGCAAACAGGAUUAGAUACCCUGGUAGUCCACGCCGUAAACGAUGUCAACUAGGUGCAGGGGGUGUUGAUCCCCUCUGUGUCGCAGCUAACGCAUUAAGUUGACCGCCUGGGGAGUACGGUCGCAAGAUUAAAACUCAAAGGAAAUGACGGGGGCCCGCACAAGCGGUGGAGUAUGUGGUUUAAUUCGAUGCAACGCGAAGAACCUUACCUGGUCUUGACAUCCCGAAAAAGCCCUAGAAAUAGGGAAGUGCUCUCUUUGAGAGAAUUUGGUGACAGGUGCUGCAUGGCUGUCGUCAGCUCGUGUCGUGAGAUGUUGGGUUAAGUCCCGCAACGAGCGCAACCCUCGCCAUUAGUUGCCAGCAUUAAGUUGGGCACUCUAAUGGGACUGCCGGUGUCAAACCGGAGGAAGGCGGGGAUGACGUCAAGUCCUCAUGGCCUUUAUGACCAGGGCUACACACGUACUACAAUGGCCGGUACAACGGGCUGCCACUUCGCGAGAAGGCGCAAAUCCCUAAAGCCGGUCUCAGUCCGGAUUGGAGUCUGCAACUCGACUCCAUGAAGUUGGAAUCGCUAGUAAUCGUGGAUCAGCAUGCCACGGUGAAUACGUUCCCGGGCCUUGUACACACCGCCCGUCACACCACGGGAGUUGGUUGUACCAGAAGCGGUUGAGCUAACCUUCGGGAGGCAGGCUGCCAAGGUAUGGCUGGUAACUGGGGUGAAGUCGUAACAAGGUA
rnacentral:rRNA from 1 species